AUGCUAGGGAGCUACUCCGAUGACGAACGGCAGAGCAUCGCGGACCGCCUUAAUUGUACGCUUGGGAGCUUCCCCACGACCUACUUGGGGAUACCCAUUAGUGACACGAGGCUCACGGUGGCCGAGCUGCGCCCCACGGUCGGCAAGCUCCAGCACCGCAUUGAGUCUUGGCAGGGGCGGUGGCUCUCGAAGGCAGCCCGGACUGUGCUCAUUAACUCGUCCCUUUCCAGCCUAUUCCUAUUCAUUAUGAGCUUCUACAACCUGCCUGAAACUCUGCACCAUGAGAUUGCCAGAGUUCAGGGGCGCUUCUUCUGGGCUGGCGAGGGCGACAAACAGAAGUACCACAUGGUCCGUUGGUGUGAGAUAUGUAAGCCUCGCGAUCAGGGUGGUCUUGGGAUCAUGUCCUCAAAACGCAUGAACAUUGCCCUACUGACUAGGUGGCUCUGGCGGAUUACGAACGGUGAGGGUGGCUUAUGGCUUCGCAUCAUCUAG
rnacentral:rRNA from 1 species